rnacentral:lncRNA from 1 species
UUGGACUUCACAAUGAAGCUUUUCAUCAGCUUCUUCCUCUUCUCCUUUAUCCUGUGUAUCAAUGCUAAUCAGGAAAAAUGGGAUAAAGAAAUUCAAGGAAAUUUCAGCCAUAUCAUGUCAGGCUUAACGGGACUUUGCUUGAACUAUUGUGAAAUCAUGAAUCACGUAGAAGAAAAUGAAAGUCAUAAUGAUGAUCUUGAGACAUCUAAUCUUGGUGUGGCAGCAGGCCAGAAUGAAUUCUAGAAACAUCACUAAUCCCUAGGAUCUGAUGACUCCAUGAUAAAGAAAGAGAUCUGCAGAUGGGAUUGAAGUGCCAAAUGACUCCAGUCAGUUCAAGCUAUCAAUCAAGACUCCAAAACUUUAAUCUGCCUUUCCUUCUUAUUCCCUCUUCCAUGUAUUCUGUGAGCUCCUUUUGUUAUAAUCCUGUCAUUCCUUUAUGCUAGUUGUGCAGGGUGUUAGAUGCUUGAUAUGUAUGCUCAUAAUAAACUUAAGUAUUGAACUAGACA